GGGGGAGUAACUAUGACUCUCU
rnacentral:misc_RNA from 1 species